UGUACACAAUUGCCUUUGCUUUCUCAACCAUGGGUACAAUUUCUCUCAUCUUUUCUGGAGAUCCCACACUAUUCCUACGGAGCAGGAAGUGCACUUUUGAAAGGUGUUAGCAUGCUUCAUAAUUGCCUAUGCACCUGGUACCUAUAUGAUGUUAGUAUCAGUUGCUCCUGUGACUGCCAUGGGGGUCUCUCUCAUCAGUUUACUCAUAGUGUUCAAUCCAAUUUGGGAAUUUAAAAUCAAGGGUAUUGUUCUGUUAGCGGCAUUCUGCAAGAGAAAGGGGAUAUGGUAUGGGGUAGUCAUCAUGGCAAACCCAGUUGCAGCCUUAUUGUCUGUGACAUUCGUGUCCCUUAUUCUACUUCUACUACUGGACUUGUCGUUGGUCUCGAUGAGUCAUCUGGUGGCAAAGUGGAACCACGUACCAGCACAACCACCGACACCAUUCAUAGAAACAACUAGAGUGACAUUGUGGGUGCAUGGAGGUGGUUUCAUCCUCAUCGACGGUGGAGACAAGAUCAAGGACUGGACCAACGCGGUCUUCGCACACGAACCAAUGUGGGCCAGUUGCAUCGGUAAAGUAGCAUCACCGGCUUAGGAAGAGGCUGAAGGUGGUAGCUUGCUGAACUCUUAUUUUGGAAAAAAAAAUCUGUAGAUGUUCACAUAAACCUGAAGUAUGCUCUGUUUUUCUCAUAUAAAUGAUAAACAACCAUGGCACCGGCACCGGCAACCAUGUGCUUCUUCUCCAUGGAAAUGGACAUGGGGCUCCAAACCACAGAAUGAGAAUGCAAGACACAAGCAAGGGAACACCAUCGCUUCACUCCUCCGGGUCGCCGCUGCUCCAACCCUACUGGACGCUAUGAAUGGUUGACUGCAGUGCACAGUGGCGGCGCUCACGUCUGCAUCAUCCGCAUCCGUUGUGUGUGCUUCCGUCCAUGUUGUUGAGGGACGCCUGCCCCUGCUGCAAGGACUGCCACUGUUGUUAUGGAAGACGCUACAGAUAAAUCAGGUCAUUUCAUCCGGACAUUAUGACAAAAGUUUCUAUACCCUGCUUGUUGUCGUAACAAUUGCACAAGGUCAGGGUUUUAUGACAUCUGACUUCACGGUUUCUUCAGGCUCGACGUCGACUUUGCUACAUUAUCUCGAUUUGUGUUACAUGCCACUUUGAACUUCUACCUAGGCAAUGCGUGGCAAGCCGCGCUUUACAUUGGUUCAACCAGCCCUCUCAUCAAGUAUUAUGUUUGUGGGAUGAAUAAGACACUGGUCACUCCUGGACUAAUGAUGCACUUCUCCUGCCACUUAACAAAAAAUAAUCAGAAGAACCAUCUCAAUGAACCAGUCUAGGACAUGAUGGUCAGUCUCAACGCUGGAGAUGUUACGAGACAGGUUUGGCGCAUAAGAGGAACACACACAAAAAAGCAAUUUGUCAGACUUUGUCAAGGCGGGAGGGAUCAGAGAGUAUCAAAUGUGUUUCUUCGCCUUCAAAAUUGAAAGGGGGAAACCAUCGCUCAAUCUCCAUAAUAAGCUUUAAAAAGCUAAGGUAGGAAAUCACAAGUCUAUACAGAAAUCAUUCUAUGCCAUGUAUUUCCCGGACUAUUUGCAUCGGGUUCAUGUGAAGUACCGCAUAUGAGGUUGAUCGACAAGGCAAUUGAAUGGAGCUACUUUUCAGUAUGACUAAUAACUAUAGGUUCGUAGAUUUAACAUCUAUAUUGUCAUUGUGUCUGCCUUUUUCUUCUUUAUUAUGUUCCAACUCUUUGUAAUUGCUCUCAUGUUCACGCUCGUAGUACUGAGCUUAAUGUAAAGUGAUGAUCUUUUGUGGUCCCUUG